GAUCAGGGCGUGAAAAGAUUGUGUUAGUGAUGUAUAGUCUCUGUAAUACUACAUCUUAAACAGGGGGCAUGCUAACGGGAGACGGUACAAACUCGAGGAUGCGAGGAGGUCUGCUGGAACUCAUAGUGUAGCGUGAAAUGACGUUGAUAUUAAUGGGGGAACACCCAAAAACCGAAGGCAGCAGACUGGAGCACUCCUUGACCACUGAAACAAGAAAGCGUGGGUCGCGAAUGGGAUUAGAUACCCCCAGUAGUACACGCCCCUAAAACGAUCUUUUCUAGCUUUUCGGAGUAUCGACCCUCUGAGAGGCGAAGCUAACGCGUUAAGAGAAGCGCCUGGGUAGUACGACCGCAAGGUUAAAACUCAAAGGAAUAGACGGGGACUUGCACAAGCAGUGGAUCAUGUGGUUUAAUUCGAUGAUAAACGAAGAACCUUACCAGGGUUUGAAACCUAGCUGAAGACAAGAAGAAACUUUUGUCGCCGCAAGGCAGUUAGGCAGGUGAUGCAUGGCCGUCGUCAGUUCGUGGUUUGAGUUGUUCCCUUCAGUGGGGUAACGAACGCAACCCUCGUUGUCUGUUAUAUUUGUCAGGCGAGACUGCCCACGACACAGUGCGGAAUUCCUUCAUAGGAAUUGUUUGCUGCGUCGUGGGAGGAAGGUGAGGAUGACGCCAGGUCAGCAUGUCCCUCUGAUACCCUGGGCUACACACGUGAUACAAUCGCCCAUACAACAGGACGCAAUCCCGAAAGGGGGAGCAAAUCCUUAUAAAGUGGGCGCUAGUUUGGAUUGAGGUCUGCAACUCGACCUCAUGAAACCGGAAUUGCUAGUAAUCGCAGGUCAGCUAUACUGCGGUGAAUACGUUCUCAAGUCUUGUACUCACCGCCCGUCAACUCAAGGGAGUUGGGAAUACCCGAAAUCUACAUUUAUUGUGGCCUAAGGUAAGCUCAAUGACAGGGAGUAAGUCGUAACAAGGUAACC
rnacentral:rRNA from 1 species